rnacentral:rRNA from 1 species
UACGAAGGGGGCUAGCGUUGUUCGGAAUUACUGGGCGUAAAGCGCGUGUAGGCGGGCGAAUAAGUCAGGGGUGAAAUGCCAAGGCUCAACCUUGGAACUGCCUUUGAUACUGUUCGUCUUGAGUCCGGGAGAGGUGAGUGGAACUGCGAGUGUAGAGGUGAAAUUCGUAGAUAUUCGCAAGAACACCAGUGGCGAAGGCGGACUCGACUGGACCGGAACG